rnacentral:misc_RNA from 1 species
GCAGAAUUCAGUGAAUCAUCGAAUCUUUGAACGCAAAUGGCGCUCUUGGGUUCUCCCAGGAGCAUGUCUGUCUGAGUGUCUUUUUCGUCGAAUGACAUUCGCACGAUGUGGCCGUGUUAUGCACUGGCGUUUCGUGCGGCGUUGAGGUUCGCGGCCUUGCUAUUCUUAGGCCGCGUGCCUUUAAAUGGAGGAGGAAGAUGGGCUCAAGGUCCGGUGCAGUCGCAUGCGGAUUCAGUUGAUGUGCCGCAUGUGACUGCUGCAUCGGGAAUAUUGUCCUCGGCCCUCUACCUCGUGACCUUUAGCACGACGUUCGUUCGUUCGUUCGUUCGUUCGUUCGUUCGUUCGUUGCUUGCCGCCAGACCUCAGAUCAGGCAAGGCUACCCGCUGAAUUUAAGCAUAUUAAUAAGCGGAGGAAAAGAAACUAACAAGGAUUCCCCCAGUAACGGCGAGUGAAGCGGGAAGAGCUCAAAUUUGAAAUCUCCGAUGCCUGCAUCGGCGAGUUGUAGUUGCGAGAAGCACUUUCUAGGCGGAAGGGCCCUGCCUAAGUUGCUUGGAACAGCACGUCGCAGAGGGUGACAACCCCGUCU